rnacentral:rRNA from 1 species
AGAGUUUAAUCCUGGCUCAGAUUGAACGCUGGUGACACACAUUACACAUGCAAGUUGAACGUCUGUAAUUAAUUUAUUAAUUACAGGAGUAGCGAACGGGUGAGUAUAACAUUGAAACAUACCUUAUAAUAAAAAAUACACCAGCGAGAGUUGGUAUAAUAUUUUAUGAUAAUAAUCUAAGGAUUAAAGCAGGGAAAACCUUGCGUUUUAAGAUUGAUCAAUGCCUGAUUAGUUAGUUGGUUUUUAGGUUAAAAGCUUACCAAGACAUUUAUCAGUAGCCAUUCUUUACGGAAGUCUGGCCACACUGGGAUUGAGAUAAGGCCCAGACUCUUACGAGAGGCAGCAGUGGGGAAUAUUGGACAAUGAGCGGAAGCUUGAUCCAGUGAUGUCACGUGUGUGAUGAAGGGAAACUGUAAAACACUUUUUUUUGAGAAUAAGAAAUUUUGACUAAUAAUUAAAAUUUUUGAAUUUAUUAAAAGAAUAAGUACCGGCUAAUCACGUGCCAGCAGCCGCGGUAAUACGUGGGGUGCAAGCGUUAAUCAGAAUUACUUGGCGUAAAGUGUACUAGGGUGGGUUUAUAUUAAUUUUUAAUUUAUUUUAAUAAUAUAUAAAUUACUAUUAGACUUGAGUGUAGUAUAAGAAAAUAGAAUUUUAUGUGUAGCAGUGAAAUGUGUUGAUAUAUAAAGGAAUACCGAAGGCGAAAGCAGUUUUCUAAACUAUUACUGACAUUUAUGUACGAAAGCGUGGGUAGCGAACAGGAUUAGAUACCCUGGUAGUCCACGCCCUAAACUAUGUCAAUUAACUAUCAGAUUUUUUUGGUGGUGUAGCUAACGCGUUAAAUUGACCGCCUGGGGAGUACGAUCGCAAGAUUAAAACUCAAAGGAAUUGACGGGGACCAGCACAAGCGGUGGAUGAUGUGGAUUAAUUCGAUGAUACACGAAAAACCUUACCUAUUCUUGACAUAGCUUGACACGAAAAACCUUACCUAUUCUUGACAUAGCUUGAAUACUAUUGAAAGAUAGUAACGCUUGAAAAAGAACCUGCUACAGGUGCUGCAUGGCUGUCGUCAGCUCGUGUCGUGAGAUGUUGGGUUAAGUCCCGCAACGAGCGUAACCCCCCCUCUUAGUUGCUAAUUAUAGAACUUUAAGAGAACUGCCAACAAUAAGUUUGGAGGAAGGAGGGGAUGACUUCAAGUCCUCAUGGCCCUUAUGGAUAGGGCUUCACACGUCAUACAAUGGUUAAUACAAAAAGUUGCAAAAUUGUAAAAUUUAGCUAAUCUUUAAAAUUAAUCUUAGUUCGGAUUGUAUUCUGCAACUCGAAUACAUGAAGCUGGAAUCGCUAGUAAUCGUGGAUCAGCAUGCCACGGUGAAUGGGUAAACUGGUCUUGUACACACCGCCCGUCACACCAUGGG